AUUGAACGCUGGCGGCAUGCUUUACACAUGCAAGUCGAACGGCAGCGCGGGCUUCGGCCUGGCGGCGAGUGGCGAACGGGUGGGGAAUACAUCGGAACGUGCGCAGUAGUGGGUGGGAGCACGUCAAAACCCGGGUGAUAACCCCGGACAGCCGGUGGUGGAAAGCGGGGGGGGUUGGAACGUUUCGCCGGUGGGGGGUCGGAUGGCGGAUUAGCUGUUUGGUGGGGUAAAGGCCUACUAGGGCGGCGAUCUGUAGCUGGCGUGAGAGGAGGACAAGCGACACUGGAACUGAGCCACGGCCCAGACUCCUGCGGGAGGCAGCAGUGGGGAAUUUUGGACAAUGGGCGAAAGCAUGAUACAGCAGUGCGGCGUGUGUGAUGACGGCCUUGGGGUUGUAAAGCCCUUUUGGCGGGAACGAAAAGGACUGUGCCAAUACCACGGUUCGAUGACGGUACCCGCAGAAUAAGCACCGGCUAACUACGUG
rnacentral:rRNA from 1 species